rnacentral:piRNA from 1 species
UNGAUUCUCCUGCCUCCAAAAGCUGU